rnacentral:lncRNA from 1 species
AAAGUAUACGUACAGAACCACUUGGUGCUGACUGGAAAGCGGGAUGGGGACUUGUAUCCCGUCUGCUACAGCAGUGGAGGUACGGGAGCUCUGAAGUGUGAAGACAACAGGAUACCUUCUGGUGGUGAUGCAGUGUGUGCUGCCGUGGGUAUCGGAGCUGAACGUGCAGCACUUUGGCACCGAAGGUAUGGCCACUUAGGAUACAGCAACCUUGAGGCGCUGCUGCGUCAUGAUAUGGUAACUGGAUUCGAUGUUGACCGACACAGCAUACAAUCAGCCAGCGCGUGUGUGUGUGAGACUUGCGUC